rnacentral:rRNA from 1 species
UAGUGAGUUUGAUCCUGGCUCAGAACGAACGCUGGCGGCAGGCCUAACACAUGCAAGUCGAGCGCCCCGCAAGGAUAGUGGCAAACGGGUGCGUAACGCGUAAGCAACCUGCCCCAUACCGGGGGAUAGCCUGGCGAAAGCCGGGGUAAACCCGCAUAGUCCCUUUUUAGUUUCAUGACAGGCUGGGUAAACAUUUAUGGGUAUGGGAGGGGCUUGCGUCUGAUUAGCUAGUUGGGC